UACGUAGGGUCCAAGCGUUAUCCGGAAUCACUGGGCGUAAAGCGUGCGUAGGCGGCGUGUUAAGUGUGAUGUUAAAUCGUGUGGCUCAACCAUAUCGAUGCAUCACAUACUGGCAUGCUAGAGGAAGGCAGAGGCAAGUGGAAUUUGUAGUGUAGCAGUGAAAUGCGUAGAUAUUACAAGGAACACCAAUGGCGAAGGCAGCUUGCUGGGCCUUUUCUGACGCUGAGGUACGAAAGCGUGGGGAGCAAACAGG
rnacentral:rRNA from 1 species